rnacentral:rRNA from 1 species
ACAUCCAGCGAACUUGGCAGAGAUGCCUUGGUGCCUUCGGGAACGCUGAGACAGGUGCUGCAUGGCUGUCGUCAGCUCGUGUUGUGAAAUGUUGGGUUAAGUCCCGCAACGAGCGCAACCCUUAUCCUUUGUUGCCAGCGAUUCGGUCGGGAACUCAAAGGAGACUGCCGGUGAUAAACCGGAGGAAGGUGGGGAUGACGUCAAGUCAUCAUGGCCCUUACGAGUAGGGCUACACACGUGCUACAAUGGCGCAUACAAAGAGAAGCGACCUCGCGAGAGCAAGCGGACCUCAUAAAGUGCGUCGUAGUCCGGAUCGGAGUCUGCAACUCGACUCCGUGAAGUCGGAAUCGCUAGUAAUCGUGGAUCAGAAUGCCACGGUGAAUACGUUCCCGGGCCUUGUACACACCGCCCGUCACACCAUGGGAGUGGGUUGCAAAGGAAGUAGGUAGCUUAACCCUCGGGAGGGCGCUUACCACUUCGUGAUUCAUGACUGGGGUGAAGUCGUAACAAGGUAAGCGUAGCGAG